rnacentral:pre_miRNA from 1 species
UUUUUACUCCCUCCGUCCGAAAAUACUUGUCAUCAAAAUUGAUGAAAAUGGAUGUAUCUAGAACUAAAAUACAUCUAAAUACAUCCAUUUCAAUGACAAGUAUUUUCGGACGGAGGGAGUAUCUA